CACCGGUUUCCGUGAGCGCACU
rnacentral:miRNA from 1 species